rnacentral:tRNA from 2 species
GGGGCCGUAGCUCAGCUGGGAGAGCGCUAGAUUUGCAUUCUAGAGGUCAGGGGUUCGAUCCCCCUCGGCUCCA